rnacentral:misc_RNA from 1 species
ACUUUCAAAUUCAGAGAAACCCUGGAAUUAAUAAAAAGGGGCAAUCCUGAGCCAAAUCCUGUUUUCCGAAACCAAAGGUACAGAAAGUGAAAAAGGGAUAGGUGCAGAGACUCAACGGAAGCUGUUCUAACAAAUGGAGUUGGCUGCGUUAGUAGAGAAAUCUUUCCAUCGAAAAUUCCGAAAGGAUAAAGUGAAAGAUAAACGUAUAUACGUAUUGAAUACUAUAUCAAAUGAUUAAUGACGACUCGACUGAAUCUGUAUUUUUUAUAUGAAAAACGGAAGAAUUGGUGUGAAUAGAUUCCACAUUGAAGAAAGAAUCGAAUAUUCAUUGAUUAAAUGAUUCACUCCAUAGUCUGAUAGAUCUUUUCAAGAAUUGAUUAAUCGGACGAGAAUAAAGAUAGAGCCCUGUUAUACAUGUCAAUGUUGGCAACAAUGAAAUUUNNNNNNNNNNNNNNNNNNNNNNNNNNNNNNNNNNNNNNNNNNNNAAGUCCCUCUAUCCCCAAAAAGCUUAUUUGACCCCCAAUUAUUUAUCCUAUCCCCCUUUUCAUUAGCGGUUCAAAAUACCUUAUUCAUUUACUCUAUUCUCUUAGAAAUCGAUCUGGACGAAAAAGCCCUUUUCUUAUCACAAAUCUUGUGUUAUUUAUGAUAUAAACAUCUUUGAGCAAGAAAUCCCCAUUUGAAUGGUUUACAAUCGAUAUAACUACUCAUACUGAAACUUACAAAGUACUCUUUUUUAAGAUCCAAGAAAUUCGAGUACCUAGAUAAAACUUUGUAAUCCCUUUUCCUUCUUUUAAUUGACAAAGCCCCCUUUUUCUCAUAAAAUGAGGAUGCUACAUUGGUACUGGUCGGGAUAGCUCAGCUGGUAGAGCAGAGGACUGAAAAUCCUCGUGUCACCA